rnacentral:rRNA from 1 species
CCUACGGGAGGCAGCAGUGGGGAAUUUUGGACAAUGGACGCAAGUCUGAUCCAGCCAUUCCGCGUGCAGGACGAAGGCCUUCGGGUUGUAAACUGCUUUUGUACGGAACGAAAAGCUCUUAUUAAUACCAGGAGUCCAUGACGGUACCGUAAGAAUAAGCACCGGCUAACUACGUGCCAGCAGCCGCGGUAAUACGUAGGGUGCAAGCGUUAAUCGGAAUUACUGGGCGUAAAGCGUGCGCAGGCGGUUAUAUAAGACAGAUGUGAAAUCCCCGAGCUUAACUUGGGAACUGCAUUUGUGACUGUAUAGCUAGAGUACGGCAGAGGGGGAUGGAAUUCCGCGUGUAGCAGUGAAAUGCGUAGAUAUGCGGAGGAACACCGAUGGCGAAGGCAAUCCCCUGGGCCUGUACUGACGCUCAUGCACGAAAGCUGGGGAGCAAAACAGGAUUAGACUACCCGUGGUACGUCCGACGACCGUAACCGACUAGUACUACUACGGUUGUUGGUUCGUUCUACUCGUAC